rnacentral:tRNA from 1 species
GCCGGGGUGGCGGAACCGGCAGACGCACAGGACUUAAAAUCCUGCGGUGAGUGAUCACCGUACCGGUUCGAUUCCGGUCCUCGGCACCA